rnacentral:rRNA from 1 species
GAUGAACGCUGGCGGCGUGCUUAACACAUGCAAGUCGAACGAUGAAGCCCAGCUUGCUGGGUGGAUUAGUGGCGAACGGGUGAGUAACACGUGAGUAACCUGCCCUUAACUCUGGGAUAAGCCUGGGAAACUGGGUCUAAUACCGGAUAGGAGCGUCCACCGCAUGGUGUGUGUUGGAAAGAUUUAUCGGUUUUGGAUGGACUCGCGGCCUAUCAGCUUGUUGGUGAGGUAAUGGCUCACCAAGGCGACGACGGGUAGCCGGCCUGAGAGGGUGACCGGCAACACUGGGACUGAGACACGGCCCAGACUCCUACGGGAGGCAGCAGUGGGGAAUAUUGCACAAUGGGCGCAAGCCUGAUGCAGCGACGCCGCGUGAGGGAUGACGGCCUUCGGGUUGUAAACCUCUUUCAGUAGGGAAGAAGCGAAAGUGACGGUACCUGCAGAAGAAGCACCGGCUAACUACGUG